GAAAUGCGAAAAUUAAUGUGAAUUGCAGAAUUCAGUGAAUCAUCGAGUCUUUGAACGCACAUUGCGCCCCCUGGUAUUCCGGGGGGCAUGCCUGUCCGAGCGUCAUUGCUGCCCUCAAGCACGGCUUGUGUGUUGGGCUUCCGUCCCUGGCAACGGGGACGGGCCCAAAAGGCAGUGGCGGCACCAUGUCUGGUCCUCGAGCGUAUGGGGCUUUGUCACCCGCUCCCGUAGGUCCAGCUGGCAGCUAGCCUCGCAACCAAUCUUUUUAACCAGGUUGACCUCGGAUCAGGUAGGGAUACCCGCUGAACUUAAGC
rnacentral:misc_RNA from 1 species